GGNNNNNCCNCGCGAGAGGUGCUUGCACCUUUCAGCGAGUGGCGAACGGGUGAGUAACACGUGGAUAACCUGCCUCAAGGCUGGGGAUAACAUUUGGAAACAGAUGCUAAUACCGAAUAAAACUUAGUAUCGCAUGAUAUAAAGUUAAAAGGCGCUACGGCGUCACCUAGAGAUGGAUCCGCGGUGCAUUAGUUAGUUGGUGGGGUAAAGGCUUACCAAGACAAUGAUGCAUAGCCGAGUUGAGAGACUGAUCGGCCACUUUGGGACUGAAACACGGCCCAAACUCCUACGGGAGGCUGCAGUAGGGAAUCUUCCACAAUGGGGCGCAAGCCUGAUGGAGCACCCCCCGCGGGUGUGAUGAAGGCUUUCGGGUCGUAAAGCACUGUUGUAUGGGAAAAAAUGCUAAAAUAGGGAAUGAUUUUUAUUUUGACGGUCCCAUACCAAAAAGGGGACGGCUAAAUACGUGCCACCACCCGCGGGAAAUACGUAUGUCCCAAGCGUUAUCCGGAUUUUUUGGGCGUAAAGCGAGCGCACACGGUUUAUUAANUCUGAUGUGAAAGCCCGGAGCUCACCUCCCGGAGUGGCAUUGGAAACGGUUAACUUGAGUGUUGUAGANGUAAGNGGAACUCCCUGUGUCGCGNGAAUGCA
rnacentral:rRNA from 1 species